rnacentral:rRNA from 1 species
AGCUAGUUGGUGGGGUAAAAGCUCACCAAGGCGACGAUCUGUAGCGGGUCUGAGAGGAUGAUCCGCCACACUGGAACUGAGACACGGUCCAGACUCCUACGGGAGGCAGCAGUGGGGAAUUUUGGACAAUGGGGGCAACCCUGAUCCAGCCAUGCCGCGUGAGUGAAGAAGGCCUUCGGGUUGUAAAGCUCUUUCGGCGGGAAAAAAUCGCAUGGGUUAAUACCCUGUGUGGAUGAUGGUACCGGAAUAAGAAGCACCGGCUAACUACGUGCCAGCAGCCGCGGUAAUACGUAGGGUGCGAGCGUUAAUCGGAAUUACUGGGCGUAAAGCGUGCGCAGGCGGUUUUGUAAGACAGGCGUGAAAUCCCCGGGCUCAACCUGGGAACUACGCUUGUGACUGCAAGGCUAGAGUAUGGCAGAGGGGGGUGGAAUUCCACGUGUAGCAGUGAAAUGCGUAGAGAUGUGGAGGAACACCAAUGGCGAAGGCAGCCCCCUGGGCCAAUACUGACGCUCAUGCACGAAAGCGUGGGUAGCAAACAGGAUUAGAUACCCUGGUAGUCCACGCCCUAAACGAUGUCAACUAGGUGUUGGGAGGGUAAAACCUUUUAGUACCGGAGCUAACGCGUGAAGUUGACCGCCUGGGGAGUACGGCCGCAAGGUUAAAACUCAAAGGAAUUGACGGGGACCCGCACAAGCGGUGGAUGAUGUGGAUUAAUUCGAUGCAACGCGAAAAACCUUACCUACCCUUGACAUGUCCAGGAGCCUGAAGAGAUUUGGGUGUGCCCGAAAGGGAACUGGAACACAGGUGCUGCAUGGCUGUCGUCAGCUCGUGUCGUGAGAUGUUGGGUUAAGUCCCGCAACGAGCGCAACCCUUGUCGUUAAUUGCCAUCAUUCAGUUGGGCACUUUAACGAGACUGCCGGUGACAAACCGGAGGAAGGUGGGGAUGACGUCAAGUCCUCAUGGCCCUUAUGGGUAGGGCUUCACACGUCAUACUAUGGUCGGUACAAAGGGUUGCCAACCCGCGAGGGGGAGCCAAUCCCAGAAAGCCGAUCGUAGUCCGGAUUGCAGGCUGCAACUCGCCUGCAUGAAGUCGGAAUCGCUAGUAAUCGUGGAUCAGCAUGUCACGGUGAAUACGUUCCCGGGUCUUGUACACACCGCCCGUCACACCAUGGGAGCGGGUUCCGCCAGAAGUAGGUAGCCUAACCGCAAGGGGGGCGCUUACCACGGCGGGGUUCGUGACUGGGGUGAAGUCGUAACAAGGUAGCCGUAGGGGAACCUGCGGCUG